ACUCCUGCGGGAGGCAGCAGUGGGGAAUAUUGCACAAUGGGCGCAAGCCUGAUGCAGCCAUGCCGCGUGUAUGAAGAAGGCCUUCGGGUUGUAAAGUACUUUCAGCGGGGAGGAAGGCGAUAAGGUUAAUAACCUUGUUGAUUGACGUUACCCGCAGAAGAAGCACCGGCUAACUCCGUGCCAGCAGCCGCGGUAAUACGGAGGGUGCAAGCGUUAAUCGGAAUUACUGGGCGUAAAGCGCACGCAGGCGGUCUGUCAAGUCGGAUGUGAAAUCCCCGGGCUCAACCUGGGAACUGCAUUCGAAACUGGCAGGCUAGAGUCUUGUAGAGGGGGGUAGAAUUCCAGGUGUAGCGGUGAAAUGCGUAGAGAUCUGGAGGAAUACCGGUGGCGAAGGCGGCCCCCUGGACAAAGACUGACGCUCAGGUGCGAAAGCGUGGGGAGCAAACAGGAUUAGAAACCCUUGUAGUCCCAU
rnacentral:rRNA from 1 species